UCCCUGGUGGUCCAGUGGUUAGGACUCCGUGCUUCUACUGCUGGGAACCCAGGUUCGAUCCCUGGUCGGAGAA